GGGCCUAUAGCAUAACCUGGAUAGUGCAACCGGCUUCGGACCGGUGUAUGGGGGUUCAAAUCCUCCUAGGCUCA
rnacentral:tRNA from 1 species